UUUUUCCAGCUACUUUUUUUCAACCGAAUGUAACUGCUUUGUGCAGUUAAUUAAAUAAAAUAUCUUAUUUUUGGUUCCUACUAUUCUUAAAGUCCACAAUACAAUUAUUUUAAAUUGAUUUCAAAUAUUACGCCAUUAAGAUGCUUGGUCCCUCACUGAGUCAUAAAUGCUUUUUUUGUGGCAUUGCUAGAACUAACAACGAUACCGACAACUUCUUCACUCUUUCGACACAUACAUUACUAAACCAAAAGUACUAGUUAAAUAUUUUUUUUUUUUAAUUUCCAGGUAUCUAUAGUCAAUUCCCUUUUUAUUGGCUGUCCCCUCACUUUACACAUUCCAGAAUAAUUUCGCAUUGUGGUGUAAUGAUGCAGUUGUUUUUCUAAUGGAAUGGAAAAUUUUUGCCCAUUUCGACAGCAAAGCAAAAUUAAAAACAGCUACCAUCUGCCUUCUCCCGCUCCUCUCUACAUCGUUUUGGUUGUUAUAACAGUUUCCCGACAUAACGAAAGAGAUAACGCUAUGCGCAUGUUUCAAACUAAAGCAACCCCAUUCGCUAGCAUUCGAAUGUGCUAGAAAAGGUUAAUGGAAAAUUUCUUUGCCUUCCAAGAACACACAAACAUAUAUACGGGCACUUUCUGGGGUAUAAAUAGGCCUGCUUUGCUUGCUCUGGCAUCAGUGGUUUUCUUAAACUUGUACCUAUAACACGCCUCAGGGAGGCUAAAGAAGUGGAAUAUUUUUGUGUGAUUGUGAAAAAGAGUGUUCUUGUGUGAAUGAGAGAGUUUGGUGUUUGCCUAAAAAUGACUGUAAUCAAGAGGCGUUCAAAUCUUGUUGCUAGAUCAGGAGAAUACUAUUGUUCCGGCAGUAGGCCGAAAUAGUGAGGAGAAAAUUUGCGGUAUUCCAUGUGAAACUGGGAAUCUGAAAGAAAAUGGCUACAUGAUUAAUCCACCCGUCAAGCUGUGAGAGCUCUAGGCAGGAAGCAAUUUAUGAAGAUUGGUUUCUGAGUGUUGCCCCCUCAAUGCGAGUGAGAAUGAAGAGUUUUCAACUAAAGUUCUGGGUCUGGUUAGCAUCAACUUAAACUGACUGCUCUGGUGUUGUUUGUCAACGUCACUUGAAGCCUUGCUUCUAAAAGCCCGAAAUUGUAUGUGUAUUGUAUUGGGCGGCUGCGUGAGUAAAUUUGUCAUAAUUUUAUGCUAAAUUUGCAAAAAUCUCGUGCAAUUCUCUCGACAUUUAAUUCGAAAUGAAAUAUCAACAAUUAUCAAAAUCAUCACAUCUGUAGAGGCUUAAACAGAGCGAGGUUGUUGUUAUGAUGUAUUGUAUAUUUUAUUCUUCAACCAAAUCGUACAUACAUACAUGCAAACAAACAGACAAACGUAUUCUAGAAACAGAAAGAUAAACAGCUCGAAGAAUGUGAAAGAGUUUAUUCUUGAGAAACGAAUUGAAAAUUAUUAGCCAGAAAAAUCUCGAAUCAUCUACACCCUCUUGAAUCUGAAUCAGAGAAUGUAUCACGAAUGAGAUAUUAGAAGAGUGCAUUGUGUGCGCUGUGUGUGGUAUAGAUGAGAGAGAGAGAGAGAGUGAGUGUGUGAUGAUGUAUGCGCGAAUUUUGAUGAACGAGAAUGAAUCACACGCGAGAUUGAUCAUAAUAAGUUCGAGAGAGCGAGAAUGAUAAAAAUGAGAGAGGAUUCAGAUGAAGUCAGGCACAUCAAAUGAGGUUUUUAAGACAGAGAGAGAAACAACACACAUAUUCUCAAAAGAAGACUUGUAAAAACCCACGUCCAACUGACAGCUAUCUAUCUAACUAAACUCUAAGAAAGAACGCCCCCUGGGCUCAGAGAAUCUUGAGAUACUUAGAGUUAUCUAUCACCCAUCAAUGUAAGAAUAUUUUGUAAAUCUAAAAAAAAAAUGUAGAGCGAAAAGAAUAAAAAAAAUAGAAUCACCACCAUCCCCAUCAACGUUAAGGGUUAAGUGUUUUAGAGAUUUUAUAUACAUCUACUCUUUAUACUAAUCGAUAAGCACAUAAAUCCCCGUUGAGAGGUACAAGAAAACAUCCAACCCAACAAAAUCAUUAUUAUGAUGUGUUCGUUUAGUUGACACCAUCACCACUACUACCAUAUACCACAGUGUAUUAAGAUUACCAUAUAAGCCUUAACUGAUUUUGAUUGAUAUUCUGUUCUAUUUUUUCGUCAUACACGUUUGUUCUACAACUAUCUUUUAAGCAUUCUUCUCAGUAUAUCUAUUAUAGUUCAUACGUACUUUUUAUAUACAUUCUUCAUUUUCUGAAAACCAAGAAAGAAAAAAAUAUUUCACAGAAAGCAAAAAAUUAUACUGAAGCAAAACAAAAAAAAAACAAAAGAAUUAUUUCAAAAGAAAAAAUCUUAAAAAAGAGAAACCGCAUAAAAAAAAAUGAAGAAGAAAAGAUUUUUGAAGAAAUAAUAAAUAUAUGAUGAAACCUUAUUUUUCUAUAAAACCAAA